UACGUAGGUGGCAAGCGUUGUCCGGAAUUAUUGGGCGUAAAGCGCGCGCAGGUGGUUCUUUAAGUCUGAUGUGAAAGCCCACGGCUCAACCGUGGAGGGUCAUUGGAAACUGGGGAACUUGAGUGCAGAAGAGGAAAGUGGAAUUCCACGUGUAGCGGUGAAAUGCGUAGAGAUGUGGAGGAACACCAGUGGCGAAGGCGGCUCUCUAGUACGGUACUGACGCUGAGACGCGAAAGCGUGGGGAGCGAACAGG
rnacentral:rRNA from 1 species